UUAACUUACAAACACCUUGGAACUGGAACUGUUGAUGGGCUGGCUUCAUCAAGAGAACCCCAUUUAGUCCAGCCCAAUAGUACCAAUGUUAACACUUUACACAUGACAUAAUGGUGGUUGGAGGCUUGGUUUAAGUGACAUGUUAUAUGUAGUUAAGGUCUUAGUUUAGGUGGUAAUUUAUAUGUCUCUUAAUAUAUUGUAUUUGGGUUCGAACUUUAACAAAUGCGUGAAGUAUUGAAAAGAAAUUUAUAAAGAAAAAAGACUAAUAAAAAAAGAAACAAUACAGUAAAUCACCAAUUGAAGGAGUUGACACCUCAUGAAGAGUUAGAAAAAAUAACCACAUAAAAUAAGAUAGAAGUAUAAGAGCGCACACUACUAAUAGAAGACAGAAAGGAUAUGAUUAGCAGCAUUGAGUGCAGUUUUCAGCAGUUUUCAGCAGUUUGCCAUCUUUUCAGCAGUUUUUCGGUAGUUGGCCGCUCUUGCGACAGUUUCGUCUGUGUUUUCUUCCAGCAGUACCGUCUGCGUUCCCUUCUGACAGUUUCAUCUGCGCUUCCUUCCGACAGUUCCGUAUGCGUUUCCUUGUGGCAGUUCUAUCUAUGUUUUCUGGUGGCAAUUCCGUCUGGCUUUCUUGUAGCAGUUCCGUCUAUGCUUCCUUCUGGUAGUUUCGUCUGCGCUUCUUUCCGACAGUUCUGUUUGCGCUUUCUUCAGGCAGUUCCGCUGCACCCGUUCUAUCAGUUUAUACAUUUUUUUAUUUAGUUGUUUUAAAUAAGUUUCAAACUCAAGUUGUCACUUGAGUUUGAGGGGGGAUGUUAAGAAUAUAAUUAGUAUCAAUUAUAUUAAUUAGUAUUAUUUAACAUAUCUAAAUAUUUAUUAUAAGAUAUUACAUUUUUAUUAUUUCGAUCCUCUUAACACCUAUAAAUAUCCUUCUAUAUGUUACCAUUCUACACAACUUGAAUAAAUACAUAAAUUCUUUUUCUAUUAUUCUUUCUUACCUUUCUAACAUAAAUAUAAUGGAAGAAUUGUUGACUUCCUAAAAAGCUACAUAGAGUUUGAGCCAUGGUUAAAAUCAGAAAGAAAAAAUGCAUAACAUAAUAUCAAAACCAAUUA